CCCUAUGGGGUGCAGCAGGCGCGAAAACUCCGCAAUGCGCGAAAGCGUGACGGGGUCACCCCGAGUGCCACCUGCAGAAGGUGGCUUUUCCUCGGUGUAAUAAGCCGUGGGAAUAAGGGGAGGGCAAGCCUGGUGUCAGCCGCCGCGGUAAUACCAGCUCCCCGAGUGGUGAGGACGAUUAUUGGGCCUAAAGCAUCCGUAGCCGGUCUGGUAAGUUUCCCGUUAAAUCUGGCGAUCCAAUCGUCAGACUGCGGGAAAUACUGUCAGGCUAGGAGGCGGAAGAGGCCGACGGUACUCUUAGGGUAGGGGUGAAAUCCUAUAAUCCUGAGAGGACCACCAGUGGCGAAGGCGGUCGGCCAGAACGCGCUCGACGGUGAGGGAUGAAAGCUGGGGGAGCGAACCGGAUUAGAUACCCGGGUAGUCCCAGCUGUAAACGAUGCGGGCUAAGUGUCAGGAUGGCUUUAGAGUCAUUCUGGUGCUGCAGGGAAGCCGUUAAGCCCGCCGCCUGGGAAGUACGGCCGCAAGGCUGAAACUUAAAGGAAUUGGCGGGGGAGCACCACAAGGGGUGAAGCUUGCGGUUUAAUUGGAGUCAACGCCGGGAACCUUACCAGGGGUGACAGUUGGAUGAAGGCCAGAUUGAAGGUCUUACCAGACUAGCUGAGAAGUAGUGCAUGGCC
rnacentral:rRNA from 1 species